rnacentral:rRNA from 1 species
GUCAAUGAUUUUAGGUGCUUGCACUUGACUGAUUUGACAUUGAGACGAGUGGCGAACUGGUGAGUAACACGUGGGUAACCUGCCCUUGAAGUAGAGGAUAACACUUGGAAACAGGUGCUAAUACUGCAUAACAACGAAAACCGCCUGGUUUUCGUUUGAAAGAUGGCUUCGGCUAUCGCUUUAGGAUGGACCCGCGGCGUAUUAGCUAGUUGGUGAGGUAACGGCUCACCAAGGCAAUGAUACGUAGCCGACCUGAGAGGGUAAUCGGCCACAUUGGGACUGAGACACGGCCCAAACUCCUACGGGAGGCAGCAGUAGGGAAUCUUCCACAAUGGACGAAAGUCUGAUGGAGCAACGCCGCGUGAGUGAUGAAGGGUUUCGGCUCGUAAAACUCUGUUGUUGGAGAAGAACGGGUGUCAGAGUAACUGUUGACAUCGUGACGGUAUCCAACCAGAAAGCCACGGCUAACUACGUGCCAGCAGCCGCGGUAAUACGUAGGUGGCAAGCGUUGUCCGGAUUUAUUGGGCGUAAAGCGAGCGCAGGCGGUUUUUUAGGUCUGAUGUGAAAGCCUUCGGCUUAACCGGAGAAGUGCAUCGGAAACCGGGAGACUUGAGUGCAGAAGAGGACAGUGGAACUCCAUGUGUAGCGGUGAAAUGCGUAGAUAUAUGGAAGAACACCAGUGGCGAAGGCGGCUGUCUGGUCUGCAACUGACGCUGAGGCUC